UGUUGAUAUAUAAAAAAGAAAACUAUAAACACCACUGAUGUGUUAAAGAAAACACGGCGUUCCCGUGUUUCGCGGGGUCACUGUGCAUACCUGCAGAACAGGUGACGCACCUGUCGCUAGCCCCGCCCGUGAGACUGCCACCAUAGUUCCUCCACUCAGGAGGAAACGGCCGUUGAAGUUGUGAUUCCGUCGCUUCGUGUUUUGGGGCGAUGACGUAUGCGCGAACAUCAAAAUGUUGAUUUGUGUUAAUUUACUACAUUCAUUAUGUAAUGAGCAGCGAAGAGGACGAUGCCACGCUCACAGAACGUGACCCGAUAAACCUGGACCGGCGACGCAGACAGAAAUGAAAGUUUCUGGGAGUUUUCGCUUCAUUGCAAGCGUUGCAUUGGCCGUUGGACUUUUGUCUCUGGCCCAAGCCACGCAGGACCCGGCGGACGUGAGGGCAGCGGACCUGGUCAGGUUUGGCAACGCCCCGGCCGUGGUGAUUGACGGGUAUGUCCUGUCGGUGGUGUACCGGUGCUCACGCCCGUGCGUGGUGCGGGUGGAGCUGCUGGCCUCCUCCGGGCCGACGGCGGGGGCGGCCAUCUUGAGGAAGUCCUGGACGCGCCGGAAGCAAAUGGACACGCCGCGGACGCGCUCCCUGGUCCUCCGGCUCCCCGACGCCAUCGCGUACAGGCAGGAUUACUUCAACAGGCACGCCGUGGACGCCUCUGGCCUCACGCUGAGGGCCUGGCUCCAGCACUUGGAGGGCGGUGGCGGCGGCCGUCCCCAUGGCGAUGGCGGGUAUCAGCAGGCGCGGGCGAGCACCCUCACACGGGUGGCGUCCCUGCCCCCCCCUCUGCGCCCACUCAAGAACCACAGCAGGAGCCCCUCCUGGGGGGCGGAGCUAAUGUGGCAGCUGACCAAUGGGAAACAGGACAGACAGUGCGUGGUGGAGUCUGGUUUGGUGGACCUGUUAAAGUUUCCAUUGGCGAGCACCGGUGAGAGGUUUGGACUGAUCCACAAGUUUGAGCCUUUCGUCAACACAGACCUGGAGCAACUCCGCCUGGGAGCCACCGCGUACCCCAGGGUGACCGUCUCUGUGUGGAUUUACCUGCUGAGCUGGUGUAGCAGCGGUCUGUGUGGGAUCGUGCACCACGUCGACUCCAACAACACCUACGAGACGCCUCUGAUCCUGCUGAACGGCAAAGGGCAUAUAGUGGUGCAGGUGCGCCUGGCUUCUGGAGAGGACCAGGCCUACAAAUCCUACACAGCCCUGCGACUCAGGACCUGGCACCUGCUGCACUGCUCUAUACAGGGAACCAGAGUGCAGCUGCAGGUCACCUCGUCGGGCGUCAGCAGGGUCAGAAACUACGGUUUCCACUUUCGCAGUGAAAUCCACCACAAUGACACCGAUGGCUAUUUCGUGAUUGGCGGAGAUAAGAACAUGCCUGGCAUCAAUGGCUAUUUUGGGCCAAUCAGACAUCACCGUCUGGAGGCAAAAGAGGUUAUAAACCCUCUGUUCCCUGAGCGGACGGUGACACAGCUGGAUGAGACACAUCAGACCUGUGAGGACACUAAAGAAGCCGUCACAGCGUUUAUACGAGCACUGAAGGAGAACGCGAAAGUCACGGACGGCCGCACUUGCCGGGGCCUCUACUCUGAUAUGAGGAUCAGGUUUGGGAGGCCAACCUGCCAUUCUGUGCCUUGGAGCCAGAGAGCACAGGCCUUCCAGCGCCCCCUACUGGAGCUCCUCCGAACCACAGGCCCAAAGUUCCUCUCCCGACUAUAUGGUUCGGGGGCCCGUCAGGGUGCCCUGCGUCUCGGGGAGCGGGUGUUUGGGCUGGCCUGGCGGAGGCUGGGUCGGGGGGAGACGCGCUCCCUGCUCCUCCUGCUGCGGCUGGCCAGCUGUCUCCAGCACCACAGAGCCUCCUACCUGCUGGCUGUCACUCACCUGGCCGGGCUGGGAACACCUACUGACAUACUGCAGGGCCAUGUGUACAGUCUGAUGGCUGCUCAGGGGGAUGACCGGCUGGCGCUCAUGCACCUGGGGUACAAGCACAUGCAGGGUAUCGACGGAUUCCCAGCGGAGCACGGCAUGGCCUACAGUUACUAUGCCAACGUGGGCAAGCAGACGUGUGCCGACAGGUGGACGAUGCAGAGCACCAAGCAAUACCCAACAGAGCAUGUUCUCCUGAGUGAUGACGAGGUCCUGCAGUCCCAAAUGGACCCGACAGAUGACGUCUUCCUCUACCUGCAGUUCCAGGCCAACAGAGGAGAUGUGGAGGCUCAGAAAGCUCUGGCCCGGAUGCUGUUCUGGGGUCAGCAGGGGAUAUCCAAGGAUAUUGGAAGGGCGGUGAAGUUGUUUUCCAAGCUUGCCAUGGAGACGGAAGAUCCCCUCGCCAUGUAUGACUAUGCCAUCAUACUGUUCAAGGGACAUGGGGUGAAGAAGAACACAACCCUGGGGCUCAAACUGAUGGAAAAGGCAGCGUCUAUGGGCUUGCUGGAAGCGGUGAACGGGAUGGGCUGGUACUACAGCACCUUCAUGGCCGACACAAACACCUCCGUCAAGUACUUUGAGAAAGCAGCUCAGAACGGGAGCAAAGACGGCGUGUACAACCUGGGGCUGGCCUACCUGCACGGGACCUACCCGGGCCUGUCGGGGAAGAACGAGACUGCUGCCUUCCAGCACUUCCACAGGGCCGCGGUCUUGGGGCACUUUGACGCCAUGGUGUUGGUGGCCUGGCACUACGCUACAGGAGCCCUGCAGGGCGUGAGCAGAGACCCGGAGAGAGCCGUCAGGAUGCUGAAGCGUGUGUCGGAGAAGAACGGAUACCUGGGACAUGUAGUUUGGAGCGGCCUCCGCGCUUACCUGCGAGGAUCCAGACAGGAAGCACUUCUGAGUUACACCAUCGCCGCGGAGGCGGGGUUUGGCAUAGGCCAGAACAACGCAGCGCACCUGUGUGAGGAGUUGGGUCCCAGUUCCCGAUGUCAGUGGAGAUACCACAACCAGUCAACCUAUAACCACCUCCCACACCACAGCGGGUUCCUGAGGAUGGGGGAUUAUUAUUUCCAUGGUCUGGGAGAUCAUCCCCAGGACAUUAAGAUGGCCGCCUCCAUGUACAGCUGGGCUGGUCUGUACGGCAGUGCUCAGGGGAUUUAUAACCUGGCCGUCUUACUGGAAGCGGGCCUCCCAGUCCCUGAGAAGUUUCUGGAACGUUUAAAUAUUCCUUCUGGGCGUCAAGGGGACAAGGAGGAGAUCUUAGAAGAACUUUAUCAGAGGUGCAGGGAGAAUGAGGAGGGUUUGGAGGUGUCGCCAUGUUCUUUAGCUCUGUUCAGAGUCCAGCUGAAGAGAACAUGGAAGACCUUCUUCCACCACCCUCUGCAGUGCUUAUUGGUGGGUUAUGAGUCACAUGACACACUGCAGUGCUUAUUGGUGGGUUAUGAGUCACAUGACACACUGCAGUGCUUAUUGGUGGGUUAUGAGUCACAUGACGCACUGCAGUGCUUAUUGGUGGUUAUGAGUCACAUGACCCUCUGCAGUGCUUAUUGGUGGGUUAUGAGUCACAUGACCCACUGCAGUGCUUAUUGGUGGGUUAUGAGUCACAUGACCCACUGCAGUGCUUAUUGGUGGGUUAUGAGUCACAUGACCCUCUGCAGUGCUUAUUGGUGGGUUAUGAGUCACAUGACCCACUGCAGUGCUUAUUGGUGGGUUAUGAGUCACAUGACGCACUGCAGUGCUUAUUGGUGGGUUAUGAGUCACAUGACACACUGCAGUGCUUAUUGGUGGGUUAUGAGUCACAUGACACACUGCAGUGCUUAUUGGUGGGUUAUGAGUCACAUGACACACUGCAGUGCUUAUUGGUGGGUUAUGAGUCACAUGACACACUGCAGUGCUUAUUGGUGGGUUAUGAGUCACAUGACGCACUGCAGUGCUUAUUGGUGGGUUAUGAGUCACAUGACACACUGCAGUGCUUAUUGGUGGGUUAUGAGUCACAUGACGCACUGCAGUGCUUAUUGGUGGGUUAUGAGUCACAUGACACACUGCAGUGCUUAUUGGUGGGUUAUGAGUCACAUGACGCACUGCAGUGCUUAUUGGUGGGUUUGCAUUUCACAGCUGUAAUGUGUGUGUAUGUGUGUGUGUGUGUGUGUGUGUGCAUUUACAGGUGUAUAAUCGGCACAGCUGUAAUGUGUGUGUGUGUGUGUGUGUGUGUUUACAGGUGUAUGUAAUCGGCACAGUUGUAAUGUGUGUGUGUGUGUGUGUUUACAGGUGUAUGUAAUCGGCACAGUUGUAAUGUGUGUGUGUGUGUGUGUGUCUGUUUACAGGUGUAUGUUAUCUGCACAGCUGUAAUGUGUGUGUGUGUGUGUUUACAGGUGUAUGUUAUCGGCACAGCUGUAAUGUGUGUGUGUGUGUGUGUUUACAGGUGUAUGUAAUCGGCACAGUUGUAAUGUGUGUGUGUGUGUGUGUGUGUGUGUGUGUGUGUUUACAGGUGUAUGUUAUCGGCACAGCUGUAAUGGCAGCACUGGUUAACAGUGUGUUACAGAGCUUCUCAAACCGGGCCUCCACAGAUCCAACUGUUACGGAGCCAUCACCUGCCAAUCAGCAUGAGGUCACGAGGAAUGGCCAGCUGGGAUUGGU